rnacentral:lncRNA from 1 species
CCGCAACUAUAGCUUGGCUGCGGGCAGGGCCAGCCUCACAGGUUGCUGAGUUCCAGUAGGGUCUGGUCCCAGCUGCUCUUUGCUGGGUGUCAUUCCUGUCACUGUGAGGACACUGGCAAACCAAAGAGAUUGGUCCUUGUCUUUGGGACUCCUAGAGUUGAGGACAGAUAAUGCAUAGGAAGAAUCAGGUUUCUUACUUCCUGGUCACAAAAUGGCUGCCGAAGUCCAUAAGCUAAAUCCUAAUGUGAGUGAACAUGAUCAAGAAGUUCACAAUUUUAAGGAUUCAUGACUACAACCCCAAAAUACGGCACUUCUGCCUGUGUGGAAACAACAGAAGCAGGAAGAUUACUCUCAUUUUUCUCUGGCCUUUUUCCCUUGAAGCAGACUAUAAAGAAGAAUCUGACCUUCCUCUGAAGGAAACCUUCAUUCCAGACAUACCCUCCCUAUAUCCAAAGAACAUCUUUAUCUUUAAAGACACAGAGAUGUCAAGAAGAAUCUGAACAAACAGGCUUUGCCAGAUCCCCCAGUUUACUAAUAUUGAACCAUACUCUUUUGUUCUUCAAUCAUACUUCUGCAUGAUGUCCAUAAAAAUACACAGUUUUCCCCAUUCCUUUUGGGUAUUUAUUCCCGAAAGCUUCUGUGUCAUGUAAAACUUACAUUAAAUAAAUUUGUAUGCUUUUCCUUG